rnacentral:rRNA from 1 species
AUUGAACGCUGGCGGCAGGCCUAACACAUGCAAGUCGAACGGUAACAGGAAGAAGCUUGCUUCUUUGCUGACGAGUGGCGGACGGGUGAGUAAUGUCUGGGAAACUGCCUGAUGGAGGGGGAUAACUACUGGAAACGGUAGCUAAUACCGCAUAACGUCGCAAGACCAAAGAGGGGGACCUUCGGGCCUCUUGCCAUCGGAUGUGCCCAGAUGGGAUUAGCUAGUAGGUGGGGUAACGGCUCACCUAGGCGACGAUCCCUAGCUGGUCUGAGAGGAUGACAAGCCACACUGGAACUGAGACACGGUCCAGACUCCUACGGGAGGCAGCAGUGGGGAAUAUUGCACAAUGGGCGCAAGCCUGAUGCAGCCAUGCCGCGUGUAUGAAGACGGCCUUCGGGUUGUAAAGUACUUUCAGCGGGGAGGAAGGGAGUAAAGUUAAUACCUUUGCUCAUUGACGUUACCCGCAGAAGAAGCACCGGCUAACUCCGUG